rnacentral:rRNA from 1 species
CAAGACCUUGCGCUUUUGGAGCGGCCGAUGUCUGAUUAGCUAGUUGGUGAGGUAAAGGCUUACCAAGGCUUCGAUCAGUAGCUGGUCUGAGAGGACGACCAGCCACACUGGGACUGAGACACGGCCCAGACUCCUACGGGAGGCAGCAGUGGGGAAUUUUGGACAAUGGGGGAAACCCUGAUCCAGCCAUGCCGCGUGAGUGAAGAAGGCCUUCGGGUUGUAAAGCUCUUUCAGCCGGAACGAAACGGUCACGGCUAAUACCCGUGAUCACUGACGGUACCGGAAGAAGAAGCACCGGCUAACUACGUGCCAGCAGCCGCGGUAAUACGUAGGGUGCGAGCGUUAAUCGGAAUUACUGGGCGUAAAGCGUGCGCAGGCGGUUUUGUAAGUCAGAUGUGAAAUCCCCGGGCUUAACCUGGGAACU